ACGAACGCUGGCGGCGUGCUUCACCCCUGCCAGUCGAACGGAAAGGCCCUGCUUGCAGGGUACUCGAGUGGCGAACGGGUGAGUAACACGUGGGUGAUCUGCCCUGCACUUCGGGAUAAGCCUGGGAAACUGGGUCUAAUACCGGAUAGGAGCCAUUUUUAGUGUGAUGGUUGGAAAGUUUUUUCGGUGUAGGAUGAGCUCGCGGCCUAUCAGCUUGUUGGUGGGGUAAUGGCCUACCAAGGCGGCGACGGGUAGCCGGCCUGAGAGGGUGGACGGCCACAUUGGGACUGAGAUACGGCCCAGACUCCUACGGGAGGCAGCAGUGGGGAAUAUUGCACAAUGGGCGCAAGCCUGAUGCAGCGACGCCGCGUGGGGGAUGACGGCCUUCGGGUUGUAAACUCCUUUCGCUAGGGACGAAGCUUUUUGUGACGGUACCUAGAUAAGAAGCACCGGCUAACUACGU
rnacentral:rRNA from 1 species